rnacentral:ncRNA from 1 species
UAGCUCAAAAUAACAGGGGUCAAGGUCAGCCUGUGAGACGAUGGGAGAUAAGCUUCAUCGUCGAGAGGGAAACAGCCCGGAUCACCAGCUAAGGCCCCAAAAUGACCGCUCAGUGGUAAAGGAAGUAGGGGUGCAGAGACAGCCAGGAGGUUUGCCUAGAAGCAGCCACCCUUGAAAGAGUGCGUAAUAGCUCACUGAUCGAGCGCUCUUGCGCCGAAGAUGAACGGGGCUAAGCGAUCUGCCGAAGCUGUGGGAUGUGCUUAGGUAGUUGCUAAGUUA